rnacentral:rRNA from 1 species
UACGUAGGGGGCAAGCGUUGUCCGGAAUUAUUGGGCGUAAAGAGCGCGUAGGCGGUCCGAUAAGUCGGCUGUGAAAGUCAGGGGCUCAACCCUUGAAAGCCGGCCGAUACUGUCGGACUAGAGUCCGGAAGAGGCAAGUGGAAUUCCCGGUGUAGCGGUGAAAUGCGCAGAUAUCGGGAGGAACACCGAUGGCGAAGGCAGGUCUCUGGGCAUUAACUGACGCUGAGGAGCGAAAGCAUGGGGAGCGAACAGG